rnacentral:rRNA from 1 species
AACGAACGCUGGCGGCGUGGUUUAGGCAUGCAAGUCGAGCGAGAAAGUCCUUCGGACGAGUACAGCGGCGAAGGGUGAGUAAUAUAUAGGUAACCUACCUCUUGGACUCGGAUAAUUCCUGGAAACGGGUUGUAAUACGAGAUCGUCCUAUUGGGUCGCAUGGCCCGACUGGUAAAUGGUAGCUCUGCUUCUGCCGAGAGAGGGGCCUAUAUCCUAUUAGCUAGUUGGUGAGGUAAUGGCUCACCAAGGCUUUGAUGGGUAGCCGGACUGAGAGGUUGGCCGGUCACACUGGGACUGAGACACUGCCCAGACUCCUACGGGAGGCUGCAGUCGAGAAUCUUCCGCAAUGGGCGAAAGCCUGACGGGGGCGACGCCGCGUGAACGAAGAAGGCCUCGGUUGUAAGUU